rnacentral:rRNA from 1 species
AUUGAACGCUGGCGGCAUGCCUUACACAUGCAAGUCGAACGGCAGCACGGGUGCUUGCACCUGGUGGCGAGUGGCGAACGGGUGAGUAAUACAUCGGAACGUACCUUAUCGUGGGGGAUAACGCAGCGAAAGCUGUGCUAAUACCGCAUACGCCCUGAGGGGGAAAGCGGGGGAUCGAAAGACCUCGCGCGAUUAGAGCGGCCGAUGCCUGAUUAGCUUGUUGGUGGGGUAAAAGCCCACCAAGGCGACGAUCAGUAGCUGGUCUGAGAGGACGAUCAGCCACACGGGGACUGAGACACGGCCCAGACUCCUACGGGAGGCAGCAGUGGGGAAUUUUGGACAAUGGGGGCAACCCUGAUCCAGCAAUGCCGCGUGAGUGAAGAAGGCCGUCGGGUUGUAAAGCUCUUUUGUCAGGGAAGAAACACCGGCUCUAACACAGUCCGGGAACGACGGUACCUGAAGAAUAAGCACCGGCUAACUACGUGCCAGCAGCCGCCGUAA